GCCCGCGACCGUUACCGAAAAACAAACACCUACUUGACCCCUUCAACCUACUCCUACUCCUACUUGAGAAAGAUGAAGAAGAGCAUGAGAGUUUCAUUCCUGGUGGCCUUGACAGCGGGGCUUGCUGUCUUGAGCGUCGUGAGCGCUGAGGAUGCACCCGCUGCUGCCUUGCCGGAGAGCUGCACGAACUUGGACCCCUCGACGUUGGACACGUCCAACCCCGCGGC
rnacentral:ribozyme from 1 species